rnacentral:rRNA from 1 species
GAUGAACGCUGGCGGCGUGCCUAAUAAAUGCAAGUCGAGCGAACAGACGAGGAGCUUGCUCCUCUGACGUUAGCGGCGGACGAGUGAGUAACACGUGGAUAACCUACCUAUAAGACUGGGAUAACUUCGGGAAACCGGAGCUAAUACCGGAUAAUAUAUUGAACCGCAUGGUUCAAUAGUGAAAGACGGUUUUGCUGUCACUUAUAGAUGGAUCCGCGCCGCAUUAGCUAGUUGGUAAGGUAACGGCUUACCAAGGCAACGAUGCGUAGCCGACCUGAGAGGGUGAUCGGCCACACUGGAACUGAGACACGGUCCAGACUCCUACGGGAGGCAGCAGUAGGGAAUCUUCCGCAAUGGGCGAAAGCCUGACGGAGCAACGCCGCGUGAGUGAUGAAGGUCUUCGGAUCGUAAAACUCUGUUAUUAGGGAAGAACAAAUGUGUAAGUAACUAUGCACGUCUUGACGGUACCUAAUCAGAAAGCCACGGCUAACUACGUG